rnacentral:pre_miRNA from 1 species
UCUGAAGGAUGAGCAAAGAAAAUGGUUUCUUUCCAUGGAAUCUAUUCCUGAUGAAGAUGCUCUGAA